rnacentral:tRNA from 2 species
GGGGCGUUAGCUCAGUCGGUAGAGCAUCUGACUUUUAAUCAGGUGGUCGCAGGUUCGAUUCCUGCACGCCCCACCA